CCAGUUUGGUUUAAGAAGGCAGCUCCCAUCCUCCCAGCCACAGAGUGCUACCUGGCUGCCUUGUCACCGUUGCAAAGUGACAAGAGUCAGUCAAAACCAAGGUAUCUUCACUGUUACGAGAGCUCCCAUAAAUAGGAAAAGACCUGCCAUGUUCUUUGGAUUUCAUGGCGUGAACAUGGCUACCUGUAUGCUAGAUGUCUUAGGUCUUUCAGUUCAAUACAAACCUUCAUUCUAAAGAAGAAAGCAAAGAUCAUUUUCAAUCUGUUGAUAUUUUGUUAUCUCAUUUAUAGCUAUUUUGCAUGCUACCAUAUUUCUCUGUUUGACUGUGCCAUAUGUCAGUCAUAAUACAGCAAUGCAAAUCCAAGCAGGGAACAUUGGUUUGAGCUGACAAAAUAAUAAUUAUGAAAUACUCUUUCUAACAAGCUUAGAAAGCUGUGCACAUUACACAUCUUAACUUCUCCAUAGAAAAACAUGGAGACAGUUGUGACACAGAAUAAUAUAAGACUGGUUCAGAUAUCUUAGUCAUGGAGUCCCCCGUAAUAGCAAAAGUAAACUGAAAUGAGAUAGGUCAUCUACUCCAGAACACAUUACAGGCCAUAAAGUGCCUCCCAACAUCCUCCAACAAAUGCCUGAUUUACAGUGAAAGACUAAAAGCCUGAUUAUAAGGCCACAGAAGGAGAGCAGGAUAAAUGAAGAUCAUUGUCAAUGUCAGAGCUGACAGUGGGAAAUUUGAUCUUACCAUUUCAUUAUGUUUUGUUUCUUAUACACCCAUAGGAAAUCCUUUACUGACCAUCAGAACUGCAUUUUAAGAGGAAUAAGCUGGUUCUUUGGGACCUGGGAGUUAGCCACCACUAAAGUUUGCUUCAUACUACUUCACUGCAAACAGAGCAGAUGUACAGCUGACUGAGAAAGUCAAAUAAGAAUUAAGUGAAGCACGCUAUAAUGCUGCCCUAGGCCUGCAAGGUGGAAUUAAGUAAAAGCUAGAAAAUUCUAUCAAUACCCUUUAUAAAUGUACUUUUUUCAGGCAUGCAGCUCAGGUCUCCUCUAUGUAACCCUAGCUUUAGAGAUGUCAUACAUGAUACAAUGGCUGUUUAAUAUGCACUUUGACUGCUGAGCCUGGGCAAGAGUUAACUUAGCAAUUCUUAACCUCGAGCAAACAUGAGCUCAUUUGGCUGUGUUUUUGCACUGAAGUAGGUGAAAAAAAAUAGUGUUUCAAGAGGAAAGCAGUGGCACAUGGGCAACUCUUCUAACUCUUACAUGGUAAAUUCAUGGUCAUUUAUUUGUGAAUGAAUCCUUAAAAUUACUAUUUUUGAGUCUGCCUAACUGAACACUAGCAUAAAUCAUGAAAGAAAAAUAAUCUGGCAAUGUAUGUGUGUUCACCUGUUCUAAAUGAAGAAUAUCUAAUGAUAGGCACAGUCUAAAGACCGUUUUUUUUAUUAUUAUUUUUUUUUUUUCAUGAAGUGGAUUUAUGUAAUAUAAUGGCUGUUACUCUCCUUGUAUGGGUUACUUUUUUAAGGCAUUUUUAUCCAUGUGUAAAGAAAAUAUGUGGGCAGGAUAGAUACCACUUAACGUAUAAAGCAAUUAUUAGCUCAAAUGCACAAUCGAGAGCUGCAGUUAGCAAGCAAAUAAAUGCUUUAUUGUGCUUAUCAAAGAAUUUUGCUGCAAGGCAGCCAUCUGGCAGGAGAGAAAGGUUUAGCCCUCCUUGUUCUUUAAUGUUCCUAUGUUCCUAUGUUUCCAUCAUCUCACAGAUCUCUGUGUUCUCCUUUAGGAUUUUAUAAUUUUCUGUUCUGGUGUUUUUCAUAUUGAAUAUUUGAGAUACAAAUAAUCACCAUCUUAACAGUCUUUGUAACUUUUU